rnacentral:rRNA from 1 species
UACGAAGGGGGCGAGCGUUGUUCGGAUUCACUGGGCGUAAAGGGUGCGUAGGUGGCAGUGUAAGUCUGAUGUGAAAGCUUCGAGCUUAACUCGAAAAUGGCAUUGGAUACUAUAUUGCUGGAGGUUUGGAGGGGGGGCUGGAAUUCUCGGUGUAGCAGUGAAAUGCGUAGAUAUCGAGAGGAACACCGGUGGCGAAGGCGAGUCCCUGGACAACACCUGACACUGAGGCACGAAAGCUAGGGGAGCAAACAGG